rnacentral:misc_RNA from 1 species
GCAUUAAUCCCUCUGAUAGGUGUCAAUGGAGUAGUCCAAGUAAAGUUCAUGAAAGGAUUCAGUGCAGAUGCCAAGAUGAUGUACGAAGAAGCUAGCCAAGUUGCUAAUGAUGCAGUCGGGAGUAUAAGAACGGUUGCUUCUUUCUGUGCUGAAGAGAAGGUGAUGCAACUGUAUGAAAAGAAAUGUGAGGGGCCUAUGUGGACUGGAGUAAGGCUAGGAUUGAUCAGCGGCAUAGGAUUUGGACUGUCCUCCUUCUUUUUGUUCUGUUUCUAUGCAACUAGUUUCUAUGCGGGAGCAAGACUGGUUGAGGGUGGCC